rnacentral:lncRNA from 1 species
AUUCAUACAGAGAAGCGAUCACAUUAAGAUCCAGCACUUGUUUCUACAUUUCCAAGCCGGAUUCUGCCGUCCUCCUCCUUCUAAGACGGGCGGUGCAGCGUCACAAGCGUCGGGACAGAUCUAUCCGGCUCGGAACAGACUUCGCGCUCUACCCGGCCAGGCCCAGCUCUCACCCGGGGACCCGUGUCGGGCUCCGCAGCUGGGACAUGGCGCCCCCCGGCGGGCGGCGAGGGGCUCGGCCGGACGAAGCCCAGACACCCGCAAACUCCCGACUCCACAGGUAGCGGCGCCGACGCCAGGGCCUCCGCGCUCUGCUCUCCCAGGCCCCGUGCCCCCGGCCCACCCGGCCGCCCUUACCAUGUUCUCGGCGCCGACUCCGCCUCCGCUCGGCCGCGCGCCCUCCCGCUGCCGACCCGCGCCGCCGCCGCCGCUCUCGCAGCACCGACCGCCGCCGCCGGAGCCGGACAAUACCCCGUGCCCGCCUCGCGCUGCUGUGGCCAAUGCCCGCUUGUCUUGCUGGUUCGAACCCCAGCGGCUGUUCAAUCGCGCGCCUCCUUCUAGCCAGACCCCGCCCCCCCGGCACCGCCUUCCUAACGGCUGUUUGUUUUUGCACACGGCACGCGGAGGCGGGGCCUCCAGCCCCAAUAGUGACGCGCUCUCUGCCUUUCACCAGGCGCCCAAGCCUGACGAACAGAAAGGCAAACCAAUGAGAUUGGACGCCUCGCAGACGAAAGCCAAUAAAAAUAUCGCCCGCGAGCAAGGGAGGCGGGCCACUGGGAAGGACAGCAAAAUUAGCUAAUAAGGUGAAGCGAUUGCAGGCGCUGUGGCUUUCCCGCCCAUUCGCGGCGUUGGUUUUCCCGCUUCUGAGACUUGUUUGGGGAGGUUAAAAUUUGGAGGAUAACUCCCAGCUAGAAAGGAAGAAAAGCUCUAAAGUGGAAUCGCCUUCCCCCGGAAGCUGUUGUAAAAAUUAAAGGAUGUAUGUGAGUG